UUUUUUUUAAUCACGCAUACUCCGAAUAAAAUAUUUUACACGUAAACUCAAAUUUUUUUCAUACUUUUUAACUACAUAUUUUUCAAAAAAUCACUAUUCCAAAACUCAUUUUCCCCAAAAUACUCGUGUCCCAACUACUUAUUGAUUACAUAAGUCGACUCAACACAGGUGGACAAUUGACGUCGGCUGGACCAGUACUUGGGUGAAGAUAGUGAAUGAGUGGCUAGCAGCCUGCAUUUACAGUAAGUAAUUUCAUCUUUCUUCCCAUCCUAGCUUGUUUAUAUUAUGAGCAAACUUAUAAGGCUUUGUUUGGCCCUCACCUCACUUCCUACCAUUGUUCUAUAAACAAAGACUUCUGAUAAUGCAGUAUGGAUGCUAGUGGCUCCAGUCAUUUGGAAAAGCAGGCAAGCAGCUGAAGCUGAAUUACCAACACCUUGACUGUUAAGCUCAAUGGAAUUGUUUUUCUAGCUCCAUCUCCAUAAAUUCUGUGGCUCGCUCUUGCUCCAGAAACGAAAAUAUCCUAUUGGAUUUGGACUCAAGAUCGAACAUGACUAGCCAGCAUUCUUUGUAGUGCUUAUAAUUUGGAGCAAGAAAAGAAAAGAAAAGCAGAAAGUCUUGAUACAUGUGAAUAAUAUAUAGUCAUGGUGUCACAUAGCAAUGCAUUCUUUUAACUGUAGAAGCUCUUAUUUUCUUAAUUAUAUUAAUCAAAUGAAGAAGAAAAUGAUUUUUGAGAAUUAUCUGGCUCGCUCGAUUACUGAGUUGAGCAUAAAUGAAAAUUUUCCUUUAUGUAAAUCUAUUUAUGUCGUGUUAACAAACCUUUAUUUGCAUAAUAGAUAAUGAAAAUUUAGUAUAUUGGAGAGAGGGAAAUCUAGCAGGAUUAUGAAGAGGGCAACUAGUGAGA
rnacentral:lncRNA from 1 species